AUGGGUCACCUACCAGUCCGGCGCACUUCUCAACCAGGACGCCUGCCGGGUCUGAGGCCGCCGCAGCCACCUGCCACCAAUCCAUCUUCAGAGCUGUACUGCUGCAUCAACCUUGCCCGGUCUAGCUGCCGCCGACGCCACCACGACGCCUGGCAGCGUCACCCUCCUGCGCGAGUCCAUCUCCGCACAUCAAGCGCCGGAUCUCCCACUGCGCCACGCCACCGAGAUCUGCCGUCAUCAAUGGACCAGAUGAAUCACCGCUCCUCCUCUUGUCCCUUCCAACCAACACUUGCUCCAAAACGAUGCCCCCAUGAGGGAUAA
rnacentral:rRNA from 1 species